rnacentral:misc_RNA from 1 species
AUCAGGCAAAGGAUAACCUUCAUUUGUAUUAACGAUGUGAUAUUUGCCAACAGUCAUGGAAUGACCCUUGAUUUCUUCAGCUAUGCAUUUUGUAUGACCAGAUUCAAGUUCAAAUCUUAGAGAUUCAAUUUGGGUCAAAAAAAAUCCCAAAAUUACAAGAAGAAAUAGGGUUUUACUUCUCCAAAUCAUCAUUUUCCAGUUGAAUUGAACCAAAACAAGAACAAAGGACAAAAUUUAGGGAAAAAAAAUUUGCUAGAUUGAAGG